rnacentral:rRNA from 1 species
CCUACGGGUGGCAGCAGUCGAGAAUCAUUCACAAUGGGGGAAACCCUGAUGGUGCGACGCCGCGUGGGGGAAUGAAGGUCUUCGGAUUGUAAACCCCUGUCAUGUGGGAGCAAAUUAAAAAGAUAGUACCACAAGAGGAAGAGACGGCUAACUCUGUGCCAGCAGCCGCGGUAAUACAGAGGUCUCAAGCGUUGUUCGGAAUCACUGGGCGUAAAGCGUGCGUAGGCUGUUUCGUAAGUCGUGUGUGAAAGGCGCGGGCUCAACCCGCGGACGGCACAUGAUACUGCGAGACUAGAGUGAUGGAGGGGGGACCGGAAUUCUCGGUGUAGCAGUGAAAUGCGUAGAUAUCGAGAGGAACACUCGUGGCGAAGGCGGGUUCCUGGACAUUAACUGACGCUGAGGCACGAAGGCCAGGGGAGCGAAAGGGAUUAGAUACCCCAGUAGUC